GACGAACGUUGGCGGCGUGCUUAACACAUGCAAGUCGAACGGAAAGGCCCUGCUUUUGUGGGGUGCUCGAGUGGCGAACGGGUGAGUAACACGUGAGUAACCUGCCCUUGACUUUGGGAUAACUUCAGGAAACUGGGGCUAAUACCGGAUAGGAGCUCCUGCUGCAUGGUGGGGGUUGGAAAGUUUCGGCGGUUGGGGAUGGACUCGCGGCUUAUCAGCUUGUUGGUGGGGUAGUGGCUUACCAAGGCUUUGACGGGUAGCCGGCCUGAGAGGGUGACCGGCCACAUUGGGACUGAGAUACGGCCCAGACUCCUACGGGAGGCAGCAGUGGGGAAUAUUGCACAAUGGGCGGAAGCCUGAUGCAGCAACGCCGCGUGCGGGAUGACGGCCUUCGGGUUGUAAACCGCUUUCGCCUGUGACGAAGCGUGAGUGACGGUAAUGGGUAAAGAAGCACCGGCUAACUACGUGCCAGCAGCCGCGGUGAUACGUAGGGUGCGAGCGUUGUCCGGAUUUAUUGGGCGUAAAGGGCUCGUAGGUGGUUGAUCGCGUCGGAAGUGUAAUCUUGGGGCUUAACCCUGAGCGUGCUUUCGAUACGGGUUGACUUGAGGAAGGUAGGGGAGAAUGGAAUUCCUGGUGGAGCGGUGGAAUGCGCAGAUAUCAGGAGGAACACCAGUGGCGAAGGCGGUUCUCUGGGCCUUUCCUGACGCUGAGGAGCGAAAGCGUGGGGAGCGAACAGGCUUAGAUACCCUGGUAGUCCACGCUGUAAACGGUGGGUACUAGGUGUGGGGUCCAUUCCACGGGUUCCGUGCCGUAGCUAACGCUUUAAGUACCCCGCCUGGGGAGUACGGCCGCAAGGCUAAAACUCAAAGGAAUUGACGGGGCCCCGCACAAGCGGCGGAGCAUGCGGAUUAAUUCGAUGCAACGCGUAGAACCUUACCUGGGUUUGACAUGGAUCGGGAGUGCUCAGAGAUGGGUGUGCCUCUUUUGGGGUCGGUUCACAGGUGGUGUAUGCCUGUCGUCAGCUCGUGUCGUGAGAUGUUGGGUUAAGUCCCGCAACGAGCGCAACCCUUGUUCACUGUUGCCAGCACGUUAUGGUGGGGACUCAGUGGAGACCGCCGGGGUCAACUCGGAGGAAGGUGGGGAUGACGUCAAGUCCUCAUGCCCCUUAUGUCCAGGGCUUCACGCAUGCUACAAUGGCUGGUACAGAGAGUGGCGAGCCUGUGAGGGUGAGCGAAUCUCGGAAAGCCGGUCUCAGUUCGGAUUGGGGUCUGCAACUCGACCUCAUGAAGUCGGAGUCGCUAGUAAUCGCAGAUCAGCAACGCUGCGGUGAAUACGUUCCCGGG
rnacentral:rRNA from 1 species